rnacentral:tRNA from 1 species
UCCGGGAUCGUCUAACGGCAGGACGCCGCUCUUUGGAAGCGAUAAUCUUGGUUCGAUUCCAAGUCCCGGAGCCA